rnacentral:rRNA from 1 species
GAUGAACGCUGGCGGCGUGCCUAAUACAUGCAAGUCGAGCGAACGGACGAGAAGCUUGCUUCUCUGAUGUUAGCGGCGGACGGGUGAGUAACACGUGGAUAACCUACCUAUAAGACUGGGAUAACUUCGGGAAACCGGAGCUAAUACCGGAUGAUAUUUUGAACCGCAUGGUUCAAAAGUGAAAGACGGUCUUGCUGUCACUUAUAGAUGGAUCCGCGCUGCAUUAGCUAGUUGGUAAGGUAACGGCUUACCAAGGCAACGAUGCAUAGCCGACCUGAGAGGGUGAUCGGCCACACUGGAACUGAGACACGGUCCAGACUCCCACGGGAGUCAGCAGUAGGGAAUCUUCCGCAAUGGGCGAAAGCCUGACGGAGCAACGCCGCGUGAGUGAUGAAGGUCUUCGGAUCGUAAAACUCUGUUAUUAGGGAAGAACAUAUGUGUAAGUAACUGUGCACAUCUUGACGGUACCUAAUCAGAAAGCCACGGCUAACUACGUG